AUUGUAUGGAAGCACACGGCUAGUGGGACCUACUCGGCGGCAUCUGCUUACAAGGCACAAUUCCUAGGGAUGGUUCUCACACCUUUGGAUAAAAUGGUUUGGAAGGCUUGGGCCCCCUCAAAAGUCAAGUUCUUCGCUUGGCUGGCGUUGCAAGACAGAAUUUGGAUCGCCGAUAGAUUGGCCAAACGCGGGUGGCCCAACUGUGAUCUCUGCCCUCUUUGCAAGAGAGUGCAGGAAUGUGGGUCUCAUCUCUUCUUCAAAUGCCGCUACACACGAAGGCUUUGGUCCUUGAUCAUUGACAAAUACCACAUUCACGGUCUU
rnacentral:rRNA from 1 species